rnacentral:rRNA from 1 species
CCUGCCGAUGACUCGGGGAUAGCCUUUCGAAAGAAAGAUUAAUACCCGAUGGCAUAGUUCUUCCGCAUGGUAGAACUAUUAAAGAAUUUCGGUCAUCGAUGGGGAUGCGUUCCAUUAGGUUGUUGGCGGGGUAACGGCCCACCAAGCCUUCGAUGGAUAGGGGUUCUGAGAGGAAGGUCCCCCACAUUGGAACUGAGACACGGUCCAAACUCCUACGGGAGGCAGCAGUGAGGAAUAUUGGUCAAUGGACGAGAGUCUGAACCAGCCAAGUAGCGUGAAGGAUGACUGCCCUAUGGGUUGUAAACUUCUUUUAUACGGGAAUAAAGUGAGGCACGUGUGCCUUUUUGUAUGUACCGUAUGAAUAAGGAUCGGCUAACUCCGUGCCAGCAGCCGCGGUAAUACGGAGGAUCCGAGCGUUAUCCGGAUUUAUUGGGUUUAAAGGGGGCGUAGGCGGACGCUUAAGUCAGUUGUGAAAGUUUGCGGCUCAACCGUAAAAUUGCAGUUGAUACUGGGUGUCUUGAGUACAGUAGAGGCAGGCGGAAUUCGUGGUGUAGCGGUGAAAUGCUUAGAUAUCACGAAGAACUCCGAUUGCGAAGGCAGCCUGCUGGACUGUAACUGACGCUGAUGCUCGAAAGUGUGGGUAUCAAACAGGAUUAGAUACCCUGGUAGUCCACACAGUAAACGAUGAAUACUCGCUGUUUGCGAUAUACAGUAAGCGGCCAAG